UACAGAGGGUGCGAGCGUUGUUCGGAAUUACUGGGCGUAAAGGGCUCGUAGGCGGCCAACUAAGUCGGAUGUGAAAUCCCCAAGCUUAACUUGGGAACUGCAUCCGAUACUGGAUGGCUUGAAUCCGGGAGAGGGAUGCAGAAUUCCAGGUGUAGCGGUGAAAUGCGUAGAUAUCUGGAGGAAUACCGGUGGCGAAGGCGGCAUCCUGGACCGGCAUUGACGCUGAGGAGCGAAAGCUAGGGGAGCAAACGGG
rnacentral:rRNA from 1 species